rnacentral:rRNA from 1 species
AUUGAACGCUGGCGGCAUGCCUUACACAUGCAAGUCGAACGGCAGCGGGCCUUCGGGUGCCGGCGAGUGGCGAACGGGUGAGUAAUGCAUCGGAACGUGCCAUUGAGUGGGGGAUAACGUAGCGAAAGUUGCGCUAAUACCGCAUAUUCUGUGAGCAGGAAAGCAGGGGACCGCAAGGCCUUGCGCUCUUUGAGCGGCCGAUGUCAGAUUAGCUAGUUGGUGAGGUAAAGGCUUACCAAGGCGACGAUCUGUAGCGGGUCUGAGAGGAUGAUCCGCCACACUGGAACUGAGACACGGUCCAGACUCCUACGGGAGGCAGCAGUGGGGAAUUUUGGACAAUGGGCGCAAGCCUGAUCCAGCCAUGCCGCGUGAGUGAAGAAGGCCUUCGGGUUGUAAAGCUCUUUCGGCCGGGAAGAAAUCGCACAGGUUAAUACCCUGUGUGGAUGACGGUACCGGAAUAAGAAGCACCGGCUAACUACGUG